CAGGGAUGGAAAGGAAACGAACGGCUCCCAAAGCCCAGCCUGACGAUGCAGGGACCCAGACUGACCUGCGCUGGGAGCGUGAGGUCAGUGGCAACCAAUGGCAGGUGUUCCCACCUGAGCAGAGUGAGGCCCUCAGCCAAGCAGCUCGGGCACGGAAAUGGUCAGAAAAAUUAGGAGACGACCAUGUGGACCUGCGCAAGAUGUUGCAGAGGAACAAGCAGAGCGGUCAGGAGAACCGUGUCCGUGCGGCUGUCUGGGAUCAGAAAUCUUAUUUUGUCUGGCAAUGGGAAGGAGAUGAGGAAAACGACUGGAUUCCAUACCCCGCUACCACCUGCUUGAAUUUACGGGCAGCUAAGAACGGUGACCGGAGACCCAUAGUGUAUUUGACAUUUAGUCGAACGCGCUACAAGCUGGACACAGCCCGCAUGGUGCAGACAAACCAGCGGACUAAAUUUGAACGUCGGAUGGACUGCAGGGAAUCAGGUAUCAGUGUCCAGGUAGACCACAGGGGAGCCCAAAAUUUAUGUCUCUAAGUGAGA
rnacentral:lncRNA from 1 species